GAAAAAAACGACAGGUUCCUUCCACCAACAGGCUGCUCCCUGUUUCUGGUUCUCAUAAAUGAGAAAUAGAGGAGCUUUGGAAGCCAGUGGCAACGAUCGAGGGGAUUGCUAAAAGGGGGUGCUUCUUCCCACCAAGAACACUUUGGACGUAUCUAUUUAUUCAUUUGGAUGCGUCCCAAAAAUUCAUAGCGGCAAAUCUUUUCUGGAAAAUCAAAUCGUUUGAUCACUUGUUUGGGAGGCAGUCAGCUGCAAUAUCAUGAAAAUGGCCCUAUGGACAAGUCUGCAUGGUGAAAAAUAGAAGCUUCCUUACAAAAGCCACAUGACUGAGCUUGGAAGUAGAUCCUCCAGUCUUUGAGAUGACUGCGGCCUAGAAGGACAACCUUGACAGUAACCUCAUGGGAAACCUCCAGAAACCACCCAAAUAAGCUGCUCCUAGAUUCCUAACUCACGGAAAUUUUGAGAUAAUAAAUAUUGUUUAAGCUGCUGA